UUUUAGUUCCUUUAAAAUAUUUUUAAAUAAUUAAUGUAAACUUCCUGUUGGUUGCAAUUUAUUGAGAGCUUUUGGUUGGUAGCAACAAUUUACUGCGCCAAUACCUUUAAAGCAACAGAUAAUUAACGGAAUAUGAACAGUAGUACGUGUUCCCAAGAUAAUUGUAUACAGAAACAGUUAGCACUUGAGUCAAAAUUAAAUUAAAUUUUUCAGGUUUGUUAUGCUUCAGCUUUUUGUUGUGAAACCAUUAAAUUUUUUCAUAUUAAUUAUUCAUAUUACAAUAAAUAAAAAUCUUUUCUUCUGACAUACAUAGUCGACUCACAACUCUUGCAUCUUUUGAACUACGAUUACAAAUGACUGCUUCAGAAUGCUGGUGCUUAAUUUGAAAAAUAUUUUCAAAACAAAAUAUAAGCUUGUUUCAACAAAAUUAUUUUGCAAAUUUUUAUAUGAUUUUACAAAUGAUUGGGUCAAUUUUCUGUAAACGAAAUUAUGUUUCAUAUGUUAAGGAGAUUUUUUAUUGUGCAAAAUCACAUUCUGCUCAUAUUGAGAUUUAUGUUUAAUGGCAGUCAAGAUUUAAGUAAUUAAUUACAAAAUGAAAUCAUAGAAAAGGAGCGUAGGUUAUAUUAUAUGUUUUUUUAUGAGUAAUUUUGGCCUUUCUUUGUGUGGUUCUUUUUUACUUAUUUAGACUAUAUCAUCAAGAACUUGUUGGUCGAGAGAAUUGCGAAGUGCAGCGCACGCAUUUAUGUAAGCAGAAUCUGUUAUGCCAUUAUAUAUGCUGUUAUAUUCACGGAUCGGAAGAAAUUGAGACAAAACAAUUUUGGCAUUAUAAUGGUGUUAUAUUUGCUGUUAUGUUAUGGCGUUAUGUUAUGGUGUUAAAUUUAAAGAUGUUUGCUAUUAUUUUUACUGAUGGUUUUGCAUUUAUACUUGCUGUUAUAUUUGAUGUCACAUGUGACAGCAAAUAUAUCAGCAAAAUAUCAUUGCAAUAAAUAAAAAAUUUUGAAACUGGCACAUUAAUUUUAAAGCGGUAUCACGAGAUGGCAAAAGUGAAAGGAAAAUUAAAUGAAAGCAAUUAAAAUUAACUUUAAAGAAAAAUCUCAAAUAGUUAUUGCUGUAAUGUUUUUGUAUUUUGUGCAGCUGGUAGGUAUAUUUAAUUUUAAAGAUCUUGUAGAAAAUGUAAUGAAAUUUAUCUGUUUUAAUUCAUUGUGUUAUUGAGUAUUUACAAUUUAAAUUGAAAGUUAUCAUUAGAAAACGCUCAUGCAUCCAGUUAUAACUAAAUAACGUGCAUUUUAUUUGAAAACAAAAUCAAGUGUUGUAUCAUUUCAAAUCAAAAUCUAAAAAUACCUUAUAACUUUCUUUAAACUGUUAAAAUAAAAUUAUAGAACCAAAAAGUUUGUCACUUCUUUUUUAGUAUAAUGGUUUGAAUUAGUAGUAAAGAUGAUUGUCAAUGAUGCCAAGUUAUAUUUACAUUGUUUUCUAUUUUAGCUCACGAAACCUUCAAUUUGUCUAUAAUUGAAGAAGUUAAUUGAAACAGCUGUUAAGUAACUGCUAAUAGUUUUACUGCUCUUCUUAAUGUACAAAGGAGCUUAUGAUUCAAGCUCCACAUCUUGUAUCGACAAAAAUAUAUCCAACUCACAACAAGUUAGGUUUUUAUCUGAUUUAAAUAAAGCUGACACAGCUCAAUCAACUCAUGCCAAAAGUUCAUCUAUUUUAAAUAAUUGUGUAGAUUUUGUGGUUCCACCAAAGAAAAUAACUUAGAACUCAGAAAACCAAUAUAUGGCUGGAGAAUCUUGUAUGAGUGUUGUGCAGCCUCCGGUAAGACAAUUAUCUUCAUCAGUUAUACAAUAUAGUGCAUCUAAAAACAUCUUCGAGACACCACGAAAGGCUUCAACAGUUCUUUUUGAUUCUGAUGAGGUUUCUCACUUAAGGACCUUUUUUAGUAUAUCUACUUUGAACUUUUUACACAAGUAAAAACAAUGAUAUUUUUAAAGAGCACCUGAAAAAUUAUAUUCUUCAGUAUUCUCAAGUUGCUCUUCCUUCAGACAGUUGGCACUUCUUUUAAAUUUUCAAAACUAUUUGGAACCUUCGUCUGAUAAUCUGCUCGAUGAAUUAAAGGUACCUGCAAAGUAUGGUCCGCAAGUUCUGUAUAACUUAACACAAUAUGGCGUUCACAGUAGAUCAGGGUGUGAAAUGAUCAACACAGAGUUACGGACGGUUAAAAAGGUUUUAUGCGUUAUUGUUUGCAUAUACUAUUUGUUAGACCUCUCUUAUCCAUCUUCUUUUUCACAACUGAGGGGUCUUUUUUAUGAGGUGUUGCUAAACGAAUGCUUUGAAAAAAAAUCAAAAAAGACUUGCUUUUAUAUUGCUCAUAUAAACAGUUAACUCAAUUUUUCGAUGUCUUUAAGUAACGCUAGUUGUUUACUUUAUUAAUUUAUUAAAAUGUUUCAUUUUAUAUUUAAGUUGUUACUUAAAGAACAAGUCGGUAUAUAAAGCUUUCAUUGAAAUAAUUCUGUAAAGUUUUGAAAAUGUAUUUAUUGACACAUGUUUAAAAAUAUGAAACCUAUUUCUUAGUUUGAGCAGUUACAUAAAAAUUUAUUAGUAGAUUCUUAUCAUUGAUAUGAAAUUAGUUUUUACAAGGUA
rnacentral:lncRNA from 1 species